rnacentral:rRNA from 1 species
UACGGGGGGGGCAAGCGUUGUUCGGAAUUACUGGGCGUAAAGGGCUCGUAGGCGGCCAACUAAGUCAGACGUGAAAUCCCUCGGCUUAACCGGGGAACUGCGUCUGAUACUGGAUGGCUUGAGUUCGGGAGAGGGUAGCGGAAUUCACGGUGUAGCAGUGAAAUGCGUAGAUAUCGUGAGGAACACCAGAGGCGAAGGCGGCUACCUGGACAAUUGCUGACGCUCAGGCACGAAAGCGUGGGGAGCAAAAGGG